CUGGUUCUCCCCGAAAGCUAUUUAGGUAGCGCCUCGUGAAUUCAUCUCCGGGGGUAGAGCACUGUUUCGGCUAGGGGGCCAUCCCGGCUUACCAACCCGAUGCAAACUGCGAAUACCGGAGAAUGUUAUCACGGGAGACACACGGCGGGUGCUAACGUCCGUCGUGAAGAGGGAAACAACCCAGACCGCCAGCUAAGGUCCCAAAGUCAUGGUUAAGUGGGAAACGAUGUGGGAAGGCCCAGACAGCCAGGAUGUUGGCUUAGAAGCAGCCAUCAUUUAAAGAAAGCGUAAUAGCUCACUGGUCGAGUCGGCCUGCGCGGAAGAUGUAACGGGGCUAAACCAU
rnacentral:rRNA from 5 species